rnacentral:rRNA from 1 species
AACCCGCCUGCAUGAAGUCGGAAUCGCUAGUAAUCGCAAGUCAGCAUAUUGCGGUGAAUACGUUCCCGGGUCUUGUACACACCGCCCGUCACACCAUGGGAGUUGGCAACACCCGAAGUCGAUGAGCUAACCUUUUAGGAGGCAGUCGCCUAAGGUGGGGUUGAUAACUGGGGUGAAGUCGUAACAAGGUACC